UGAGCCGCUGGCUGGCCGCAACAGAUC
rnacentral:misc_RNA from 1 species